GGUGGGUGUUUAUAAUAUUUCAACAUGAAAUAAUAGGACAACACAUUCUAAUAUCCAUAAACUAAUUGCACUGUUUCGUAUUCACAUUCAAAUGCAUGACGACAGGACAAUACUGCCAGCUAAUCUCUGAUCAUUUCAAUUAGUAAAAAUAUUAUAGACAUUCAUACAAUCAAAAUCAUUUGUUAACCUGAAAACAAGGCCUGAACAUUAUAUUUAACAAUAGUCUGUUGUAUGAUUAGGUAGGGUAGUCCUUUCUGCAGGAUUGUGAUUUCAAACUUAUUAAUUUUAUGGAUUUAACCAAUCAAUAACCAAUCACUAUCCAGUUGAUAGCACGACCCAGCCUUAAAUGUACAACUGGCCCCUUGGUGAUCAUAUUUGGAUAUGAAUUAUAUAAUGCAUAAUUAUUAAAUAAUUUUAUAGAAAUAUACAUAUUAGAAUGUGAAUAAAGUAAAAACAUGUUAUUAAAAAUAAACAAAACUUUGCCAAGUUGUUCCAUUGUCUAUCUUCAAAAUCCAAAGAAAAUUACAACUGUAUCUUUGCCAGUAGAAAUCAUGGAA